AUUGAACGCUGGCGGCAUGCCUUACACAUGCAAGUCGAACGGCAGCACGGGAGCAAUCCUGGUGGCGAGUGGCGAACGGGUGAGUAAUACAUCGGAACGUGCCCUGUAGUGGGGGAUAACUAGUCGAAAGACUAGCUAAUACCGCAUACGACCUGAGGGUGAAAGUGGGGGACCGCAAGGCCUCAUGCUAUAGGAGCGGCCGAUGUCUGAUUAGCUAGUUGGUGGGGUAAAGGCCUACCAAGGCGACGAUCAGUAGCUGGUCUGAGAGGACGAUCAGCCACACUGGGACUGAGACACGGCCCAGACUCCUACGGGAGGCAGCAGUGGGGAAUUUUGGACAAUGGGCGAAAGCCUGAUCCAGCAAUGCCGCGUGUGUGAAGAAGGCCUUCGGGUUGUAAAGCACUUUUGUCCGGAAAGAAAUGGCUCUGGUUAAUACCUGGGGUCGAUGACGGUACCGGAAGAAUAAGGACCGGCUAACUACGUGCCAGCAGCCGCGGUAAAAC
rnacentral:rRNA from 1 species